AAUAGGCCACGGAUCUGGGCAA
rnacentral:miRNA from 1 species